rnacentral:misc_RNA from 1 species
GUUAUUUAUUUUCUCUUCUAUAAUCUAUUAUAUAAAUGAUAAAUUUUGUUUAUUUACAUAUAUAAUACAUAUCGUGGAAUGACUUUUGCUCGCAAAACAUUUAACAUCAAUCUACUUGCAUCUUUCCUGACGAACAGACGUUAAUUACUCUACCUAAUAUAAAGAAGAAGAUUUUAUUCAAUUUAAUAAACCUGACACAUCUUGGUUUGAUCAUAACACAACUUUAAACAAUGUUAAAGAACCACAAA